rnacentral:rRNA from 1 species
GGGAAAGUUGAAAAGAACUCUGAAUAGAGAGUUAAAUAGUACGUGAAACUGCUUAGAGGUUAAGCCCGAUGAACCUGAAUAUCCAUUAUGAAAAAUUCAUCAUUAAAUAAUUAAAAAUAAUGUGCAUUUUUUUCAUAUAAGGACAUUGUAAUCUAUUAACAUAAUAAAGUAUUUAUCAAAAGAUCAUUGGUGAUAUUAAGUUUAUUUAAAUUAAUUUGCUUUUUAAGCAUAUUAACAUAGAAUAAAUACUAAUGAUUUGAUAAAGUGUUGAUAGAUUUUAUUAUAUAUAAUGCUAAAAUUCAUUUUUUGAAUUUUACAAAAAAUUUAAUAUCUAUGAUAUUAAUAUUUAUUUGUAUGCAUUUAUAUGAUUAACAAUGCGAAAGAUUCAGGAUACCUUCGGGACCCGUCUUGAAACACGGACCAAGGAGUCUAACAUAUGUGCAAGUCAUUGAGUUAUAUUAAACUUAAUGGCAUAAUUAACUUAACUUAAAAAUAUAAUGGGAUUAAUUUUUAGUCUAUUUUCUUAAAUAGUCAAUUAAUUCAAUCCCGGGGCGUUCCAUAUAGUUAUGUAUAAUGAUAAUUUAUUAUUA